rnacentral:lncRNA from 1 species
UGAUGGAGACGACCGGGUUACCUCCUGUUGGUAUGGAAAAGAAUAGAGAGAAUGGAAAAACAAUGAGAGGGCUGGUCAAGUGAGGAUUAGACCGGUCGGCCAGAUAUGGGGGAUUGGCUCCCCGGGUGCACAUGUUUGAGAGGAUGGGCUGUUUGAGAGGACGGCUCGUCGGGGGUUUAGGUGACGCCACUGACUAAUUUCCACGUGAUGUGAUUAUUUGAAGGUGAUAUUGUUUGUGGGUGCUGAUGUAAUGUCAUAUGAUUGACUGUUGUGUGUUCAUUCAGUAAACUAGGGUGCAUUUUGCUUGACUGUAUGUGGUGUGUAUUAUUUAUUAUUAUUCACUGAGUUGCAAAACUCACCCCCCCAACAAACCUCCCAGGUACUAGGAAGCAGCUGAUUCGACUGGAGCUCUGCAAUCUUCUCCGCAGAGUUAUAAAUGUAAACUUUAUAUUCCUGUUAUUUAAUUUUGGAUGUAUAAAUUAUUCUGUUAUCAGAUUAUUCUUGGACUCCGCAGUUAUAGGGUUGUGUAUGAAUAUUGGAUCUAUUGUUAGCAUUACACUAUAAAUUAUAUAUUAUGUAAUUAGCUGCAGGUGAACCAGUAAGCCCAUAAUGUGAUUAUAAUUUAUUGUGAAUAGGCCCUGGUUAGAUAUUAUGUGUUAAUUGAGAUCGAGGCUUACUGUUUCGAUGAAUUAAUUGGGCAAGAUAGGUAGACAGAUUGGAUAAUUUAGGCUUACUACGGGCCUCGGGGGCCUUAAGCUUACCUGGGUCCUAGUGCCGGUCCGGCCCACGGAAACGGGUCGUGACACUAGUUAUGGCGACUGUUCGACUUCAUAGUUUUUCUACAAAUCCGAUAUAAUUGCC